GAUGAACGCUGGCGGCGUGCCUAAUACAUGCAAGUCGAGCGAACGGACGAGAAGCUUGCUUCUCUGAUGUUAGCGGCGGACGGGUGAGUAACACGUGGAUAACCUACCUAUAAGACUGGGAUAACUUCGGGAAACCGGAGCUAAUACCGGCUGAUAUUUUGAACCGCAUGGUUCAAAAGUGAAAGACGGUCUUGCUGUCACUUAUAGAUGGAUCCGCGCUGCAUUAGCUAGUUGGUAAGGUAACGGCUUACCAAGGCAACGAUGCAUAGCCGACCUGAGAGGGUGAUCGGCCACACUGGAACUGAGACACGGUCCAGACUCCUACGGGAGGCAGCAGUAGGGAAUCUUCCGCAAUGGGCGAAAGCCUGACGGAGCAACGCCGCGUGAGCGAUGAAGGUCUUCGGAUCGUAAAACUCUGUUAUUAGGGAAGAACAUAUGUGUAAGUAACUGUGCACAUCUUGACGGUACCUAAUCAGAAAGCCACGGCUAACUACGUG
rnacentral:rRNA from 1 species